rnacentral:precursor_RNA from 1 species
UAGUGGCGUACAGAGUAGUCAAGCAUGACCAAAGCUUAUCAUAAUAUNUACAUUAUAUGUAUAUGAGUACUUUGUCUCCAUAGCACAGCAUACAUGUGCAUGGAUGAUGUCUAAUUGUCUAUAACCGUUUUGUUA